rfam:Myotis davidii contig155500, whole genome shotgun sequence.
AGAGGCCCUCCGCAGCCGGGGUGGAAUGCUUGCCUCAUCGCCAUGGCGACAAAGCAAGCAUUCCACCAGGCCACUCAUGCUGCCUGC